rfam:Gossypium arboreum cultivar AKA8401 contig_3310_1, whole genome shotgun sequence.
UAUUAAAAAUUUCAUCUAUUUCUAUUGUUAAAAACGAGUGUAGUUGGCGAAAUAACCAAAAAGUUACACGAUGUGCCACGUGUAUAUAAUGUUAAUGUACAAGGACCAAUUUUUAACAAUAAAAAUGGAUGGAACUUUUAACA